GAUGAACGCUGGCGGCGUGCCUAAUACAUGCAAGUCGAGCGAACAGACGAGGAGCUUGCUCCUCUGACGUUAGCGGCGGACGGGUGAGUAACACGUGGAUAACCUACCUAUAAGACUGGGAUAACUUCGGGAAACCGGAGCUAAUACCGGAUAAUAUAUUGACCCGCAUGGUUCAAUAGUGAAAGACGGUUUUGCUGUCACUUAUAGCUGGAUCCGCGCCGCAUUAGCUAGUUGGUAAGGUAACGGCUUACCAAGGCAACGAUGCGUAGCCGACCUGAGAGUGUGAUCGGCCACACUGGAACUGAGACACGGUCCAGACGCCUACGGGAGGCGGCAGUAGGGAAUCUUCCGCAAUGGGCGAAAGCCUGACGGAGCAACGCCGCGUGAGUGAUGAAGGUCUUCGGAUCGUAAGACUCUGUUAUUAGGGAAGAACAAAUGUGUAAGUAACUAUGCACGUCUUGACGGUACCUAAUCAGAAAGCCACGGCUAACUACGUG
rnacentral:rRNA from 1 species